rnacentral:rRNA from 1 species
GACGAACGCUGGCGGCGUGCUUAACACAUGCAAGUCGAACGCUGAAGCUCAGCUUUUGUUGGGUGGAUGAGUGGCGAACGGGUGAGUAACACGUGAGUAACCUGCCCCCUUCUUUGGGAUAACGCCCGGAAACAGGUGCUAAUACUGGAUAUUCACUGGUCUUCGCAUGGGGGUUGGUGGAAAGGGUUUUUCUGGUGGGGGAUGGGCUCGCGGCCUAUCAGCUUGUUGGUGGGGUGAUGGCCUACCAAGGCUUUGACGGGUAGCCGGCCUGAGAGGGUGACCGGUCACAUUGGGACUGAGAUACGGCCCAGACUCCUACGGGAGGCAGCAGUGGGGAAUAUUGCACAAUGGGCGCAAGCCUGAUGCAGCGACGCCGCGUGAGGGAUGGAGGCCUUCGGGUUGUGAACCUCUUUCGCUCAUGGUCAAGCCGCAACAAUGGUUGUGGUGAGGGUAGUGGGUAAAGAAGCGCCGGCUAACUACGUG